AACGGAUAACAUGCCACAAGAAUUGCACAAUCUUUAAUAUCCCAAAUUAUUUAAUUGAAUUAUAUACAAUAUUUCAUAUAAUAAUAUUCUAUUAUAUAGUGUAUACACAUAUUCUUUGAUCAUGUUUCAUCAAUGAUCAAGAUUUGUAAUUGAAGCUAUUUUCGAUAAUUUCUGCAUCAGAUCUUAUCUGGGUCGAUCUUAGUUUUCGUAAAAAUCAAUUUUUUUUAUAAAUUCUUUCUAUAAUACCCAUCUUCUAUUUUCAGCUUUAAGGGUGUGUGUGAUUGUGAAGUUUGAAUAUUUGUUUUGUUUCAAUGGGUAUUGAAUUGUGAUGAUGAUGAUGAUGAUGAUCGUAAGCAUUGAAUAGAUAUGAUUCAAGAAAGGUGAUUUCUUUGAUCAGAAGAGUUUUUUUUCUUUCACUUCUUUGAUUCCUUCCCCUUUUGGGGAAGUGAAUGAUUGUGCUUUGGAGUGACUCAAGAAAAAUUGGUUUGAAAAUUCUUGAGUUUGCAUGUGAUGAUGAUCAUGGUGUUGAAAGGUUUUUCAUCCUGGUAUGACUUUCUAUAUUCUCCUUUGACUUUAGUAACUUUUGAAUUUCAUAUAUCAUGUGUAUAUAGUUUUUUU
rnacentral:lncRNA from 1 species